AAAGAAAGCAGGGAGGGAGGCCCCAUGCCCUGCAUUAGAUGGCCAACAUGACAUCAUAAUUUGAUUUCGUAGGAAAAGAAAAUCAAAUGAUUCACGAAAUGGUUCUUAUAAAUGAAAUUAUUUUGAACAUAUUUAAAUUUCAUUUUAAACAUAAAACCAAUAAUUUUAUUUGAUGUUAUACAAAUACUGGAUCGUAUGGAGCAUGAGUGUAUUCAUGUUCCCCUUUUAAAGAAGAAGUGAAGCAUUCAGAUGAAGAUGUAAAACUUACAGCUCCUUCUAUACCUUUCCUGCCAGAAUGCAGCCAUGUUACUGCCUUGAUGAUACUGGACUGAAACUCUGAACCUGUAAGCCAGCCCCAAUUAAAUCUUGUCCAUUAUAA